rnacentral:rRNA from 1 species
UACGGGGGGGGCAAGCGUUGUUCGGAAUUACUGGGCGUAAAGGGCGUGUAGGUGGCCAACUAAGUCCGACGUGAAAUCCCUCGGCUUAACCGGGGAACUGCGUCUGAUACUGGAUGGCUGGAGUGUGGGAGAGGGAUGCGGAAUUCCAGGUGUAGCGGUGAAAUGCGUAGAUAUCUGGAGGAACACCGGUGGCGAAGGCGGCAUCCUGGACCAUUACUGACACUGAAAAGCGAAAGCCAGGGGAGCAAACGGG